UACGUAGGCAGCAAGCGUUGUUCGGAAUUACUGGGCGUAAAGAGUGUGUAGGUGGUGUCGUAAGUUUGGUGUGAAAUCUCCCGGCUUAACUGGGAGGGUGCGCCGAAGACUGCGAUGCUGGAGUAUGGGAGAGGAAAGCGGAAUUCCUGGUGUAGCGGUGAAAUGCGUAGAUAUCUGGAGGAACACCGGUGGCGAAGGCGGCAUCCUGGACCAACACUGACACUGAGGAGCGAAAGCCAGGGGAGCAAACGGG
rnacentral:rRNA from 1 species